rnacentral:rRNA from 1 species
UACGGAGGGUGCAAGCGUUGUCCGGAUUUAUUGGGUUUAAAGGGUGCGUAGGCGGUCUUUUAAGUCAGUGGUGAAAUCCUCCAGCUUAACUGGAGAACUGCCAUUGAUACUGGGAGACUUGGGUACAGACGAGGUAGGCGGAAUUGACAGUGUAGCGGUGAAAUGCAUAGAUAUUGUCAAGAACACCGAUUGCGAAGGCAGCUUACUAGACUGUAACUGACGCUGAGGCACGAAAGUGUGGGGAUCAAACAGG